AGAGCUAUGUUUUAAGACCCUGUGGACAGUAUGCAGACGAGUCAACUCAAUUUCAACAUGAGUCGAUUCGGUUCCAGGCGAGUCGACUCGACCUCAGUACGAGUCGACUCAAUUUUCGUGAUGCGAUUUGGGCCAAAUUUUCUUAAGGUUUCGAGGCCUCUUUAAAAAUGGGUCACGAGGGUUUUGGAGGCAUGCACUUAAAGCGGCG
rnacentral:lncRNA from 1 species